rnacentral:rRNA from 1 species
UACGUAGGGUCCGAGCGUUGUCCGGAAUUAUUGGGCGUAAAGGGCUCGUAGGCGGUUUGUCGCGUCGGGAGUGAAAACACGGGGCUUAACCCCGUGCCUGCUUCCGAUACGGGCAGACUAGAGGUAUGCAGGGGAGAACGGAAUUCCUGGUGUAGCGGUGAAAUGCGCAGAUAUCAGGAGGAACACCGGUGGCGAAGGCGGAUCUCUGGGCCUUACCUGACGCUCAGGUGCGAAAGCUAGGGGAGCGAACAGG